rnacentral:rRNA from 1 species
AAGCAGCUUGCUGCUUUGCUGACGAGUGGCGGACGGGUGAGUAAUGUCUGGGAAACUGCCUGAUGGAGGGGGAUAACUACUGGAAACGGUGGCUAAUACCGCAUAACGUCGCAAGACCAAAGAGGGGGACCUUCGGGCCUCUUGCCAUCAGAUGUGCCCAGAUGGGAUUAGCUUGUUGGUGAGGUAACGGCUCACCAAGGCGACGAUCCCUAGCUGGUCUGAGAGGAUGACCAGCCACACUGGAACUGAGACACGGUCCAGACUCCUACGGGAGGCAGCAGUGGGGAAUAUUGCACAAUGGGCGCAAGCCUGAUGCAGCCAUGCCGCGUGUAUGAAGAAGGCCUUCGGGUUGUAAAGUACUU